ensembl:lncRNA
CUUGUAAGACUGUAGCCUCUCUCUAGAGGUCCCAAUUCCUUGUCGACAAGGAAUCCAGCAAAGAUGCUUCAAUCUAGAAGGUCAAGAUUCUAUUGGUCCCCCUGCUUUCAGUCUUUAGGGCAGAAAAAGCUUUCAGGUUAGCUGGCCCAGCUCUGACCGUGUUAGAAAGUCAGCUAUACUUUGAACCCUGAGCAGUUAACAAGCAACCUUUCAUCCAGACCUUAAGAUGUGGCAUUUGAAGCAACUGUUCAGGACAAGAACAAACUCAUACAAUCCAGAUAGUCUGCCUGGGUAGGGGAGGGAGCUACACAAGCAUAAGGUACCAAGUUGGGUUCAGAGAGGUGCCAGGCUACAGGAAGGUCAUAACAUGGAACAGGAGUUUCAUGCUACAGGGAUGAAGGUGCCAAGACGCUUGUGGCACAGAACCCCAUGAGCCCUGCACUAACUCUGUGAGGCAGUCUAUGGGGCAGCAGCUAGAGUGUACUGAGCACACACCAUGAUGGGUACUGGUCUACAGUCUCCUAUCGCCACAAGAUCUGUCUAAGCCAGUUUCCCAGAGAUUGGUAACUUGCCCAGGUUAUCAGAGCUAGUAAGUGACACAGCCAGGGAAAGAACCCAGGUGAGCGGCAGCCUGUAUCCUGUCACACCACAUGACUAUGAAGGUCUCUCCACGAGACCAAGGCUCUCGUCAAGUGGCUCCGCAGACAAGACCUGAAAGCAGACAGAUUCCAGACCCCAACACUCCCACCUCCAAGGUCAACAAUUUCGACGGAAGCUUUCAGUUGUCUUCAGAGGAGCCGCUUUAGAAAUUGAUGGUUAAGCCCUCACCAAGUUUGACCCAAAACUGGUUCAGCUGGACGAACUCCACAUCAACUGGUCAUGCCCAGUUAUCAGGUGAGGUCAGCACCAACCACUCGUUUCCCACUUCAGCAGAUUGAACUGCAUCUAGGCCCCAGGUUCUCCCACUUUUCAGGCCAGCCCAUGUGGUCAGUUGCCUGCUGCCUCACCUAGAGUUCUUCUGAACACUUAAGACUUGCCUUGCUUCUCUAGAGCCUUCUGCCAGUUGGAGUUUAAUACUGAGCCCUUCCACACAGUCACCACAGUUGUUACAGGCUCUAUGAGCUACUCUUCAGGUGAGCGAGGACCUACAUCUAGACCUAUGCCAGCAGGGAGCCCCCAGGAGCCCUUUACCUGUGAUUCUUUUUAGAGAAACUCUAGUCAGUCCAGUUUCUACUUGAGCACUCCCCUGGAGUAGAUCCUCGCCCUCCCCAGGAGGAUUUGAACAGCACAGACUAUAGGAGAAAACCAUCUCCAGGGACUGAUGGCUUAACUAUGACCUGCCGUCCCAGUUCAACUCAUAUUGAUAUUCUUUUCAGCUGGGGAAAUGAAUCCCCAAACAUUUUAGUUUUUGCCAGAUUUGAGUUCACAUCUGUGCUGGAUUUGCCAAUAGCAAGUCUACUCUGUAGUACCUUAUUGCCAGAGGAAAACUUUAGGAUGCUUAAGAGAAGGAAAACAAGUGGGAGUGCCUCACCUCUGAGACCUGAGCACAGAAGCCAGGCCACAGGUUGUUUGAAAACAGGUUUGAGCAGGAAAGCGUCAUCACCCUAUCACAGGAAGGGCUAAUGCUGAGUCUCUGCUUGCUGGAAGUUUGAGUUUUUGGCUUUGGGGAGAAAAGUCACCCACUUCAGUGCAUAUACUCCAACUCAGGGUCCCAUGCUCUUCAUGUGAGCUUCGAGUUCAUACCUGUGGAGCUAGGUAUCCCCUCUGCCUGUUGAUAUAGGCCGUUAGUCCCCGGAAGAACCCACUCCCAGAAAGAUCUUCCCUGGGAGAAAAGACAGCUUCCCAAAGAAACUGGAGCUCUGUUUUAUGUACCAGGAUUUUUUUUUUUUUUUUUAAGGCUUCAAGUUGGUAAAAGAAAACCCCUGAAGAAAGAUUUUUACACAGAGGUUGAUGUGGGGCCUUGAGCCAAGGACUAUCAGACAGUCUCUCAAGAAAAUUCUCUCCGAAAGCCUCUAGAAGGAAUCACAGCUUUACCAACACCUUGAUUUUAGCUUUGUAAAGACCCUUUUUUCACACUUCUGACCUCCAGAACGUUAAUAAAUCGGUACUGUUUUCAGUCACACACAAAGAGGCUUUUCAGAUGUAAGAAAGCAGGCAGAGAAGGAAAAAAAAAAAAAACAAAAACACAAAAAACCCUGGGAGAAAGAGGCAGGGCUUGUGUUCUUAUGACCCCAGGACUACCUGUGAGAAAACAGAAGAGAAAAUCCACACAGAAGAGCACUAACAGAGACUAGUGUGUGGAGAGAGAGAGCCCUACAUCCCUAUUCCCAGAGUUUUCUCUUCUGAAACAAAAGGAAGCUUUAUACCCUACCCUCUAGGCUUAAUCUGCUUUCCCCACUCCAACCCUGAGAAACCUUCGGCAGCCACAACCACCCCAACCAAAGAACACUGAGGCACAGACUGCGGAUUUUAUAGGCUAUAGAGACUAGUCCCACCACCCCCCCACCCCAAAGCACUCUGGGUGGGCAGCGGUUCCUCUGUUUCUCAUUGGCUCCCUCUCUCUCAAUCAGCAGAUUGUCUCCACCCUCCUCUGCUCAUUUCCUGUCUGUAAGUCACCAACAGCAGUGUAAGCAAGGGGAGGUUUUAACAGUCUGCUCUCAACCCUUGCCUAAAAAUGUGACUUCUCAUGUUUUUAGGCAAGAUUCCAGAAGCAAUCUUGAUAGGAAAAAGAGACAGCCUCUUCACAGACAGAAUAUAUCAUUCUUUUAUCUAUGUUCACCCAAUCAGGGCUCUUUCCUGGAAAUGAUGUUUGAGAAGAUCUUGAUGAGAGCCUUGGAGUCUGUGGUUUCCCAGAGGCACAAGAUUUGUGCCUUUAAGUAAGCCGGCAUCCUACUAAAAGGUGGUAUUGAAAAAUUCCAAGAAAUGGCUUACUGUCUACCUGUUACGGUUAUCCCCGUAUUCCCAAUUCCUCUUUUGGAUUUGAGUUUCUCCAGCAGCUACCUCAAAUAAGCGUUCUUACUUGAAAAGAAAAGGAAAAGAAAGAAAAAUGCAGUGUUUAGGAGGAGGUGGCCGCGUUCUGAUCUUCACCACCUCUCUGCACUUAGGGAAUGAACCACAGGUGGGAAGUAGCUUUCAUAAGUCAAUUCACCUGAGUCAGUUUGAGUUUGGCCGCGUUCCCCUUCUGGUCCUGAGGUCACAGGAAAAAGGAGGAGCCUUUUGAUGAGAGGAACUGGGGUGUUUGAGGUGAUGAAAGUUUGAGGGCAGCCAGAAGAUAGUGGGAACACACAAAACUUUUGCCAAGAAGGCAGCUGUCUGUGCACCAUGCCUGUGGUAAGUGAACUUAAUAUAAGAUACCCACACUGGGAUCAGAAAAACUUCAAGAAAGGAAAAAGCAUUAAACUCGGUGGUUAAUUCUCUUGUUGCUUACUUGAAAGCUGAUUCCAUAAUCAUUGUUUCCUAAUCAAAGUAACUGUUGAUUCCCUCCUUUCAACAGGCCCUUCAUUUUUCUGACUUCUGUCUUCACUCCUGCUGUUCCUCGGUCAGUCCUUUUCCUCAUUUUCUGCCACAAAUCAAAAUUCUAGCCAUAUAAGACCCAGCUGAGAUGCUAAAUCUUUGUGUUGUCUUCUCUGAUCUCCCAGUUUGAUUCCACGGGCUCACCUCACUUUCUGAGAUGGUUAGAGAAUUCAGAUGGCUGACACUUGGUCUUCUCCCUGAAAGACCUCACACCCUGAUUAACAGAUCACUCUUGCCUUGCUCUGUCAUAGCAUCCCUUGCACCUCCAUAUAACACACACUGUAUCUGCUUGGUGUUUGGUUGCUAUCACGCUUAUCUACUGCCACUGCAUUUCAAGUGCCUAUAGGAGGGUAAAAUGACUGCUUCAACUCUGUGUCAAGAAUAUGGUACAAACGUGAUGCGUUUCUUGAAUGAAUGACUGGGGGAAAAAAAGAAGGGGAGGAAAUGACGGCAAAGAAAUCAAGAAAGUUCUGCCUCCUUCAGUGUUCUCUUUGUAGCCUCAGUUUGGUCUGGGGCCAGGGGUAGGGUAGGGAUGAGAUAAACUUCUAGUAUUCCUUGGGGUCAAGAAACAGUUCCAACUCCAUAAAGUCAGAUCAGGAAGAGCAGAUAUUACCAGAGUGAGAGAGGGGAGAGACUUCAGGGCAAGAACUAAGUCCCCUCUCCCUUAUCCAUAGUUUAUGAGUUCAAGUACUGCCGGACACAGCUAUGAAUAAACUUUGAGAACUUGGGAGCUGGUAUAGUGUGGUCAUUAAAUAUGUAGAUUUGGGGUUCACAUCCUGGCUCUGUGGCUUACUGGCUUGUGACUUUAUGUGACUUGGUGCAAGGUAUGUAAUCUCUUUAAGCUCCCGCUUCUUUUUAGGCAAAAUGGGGAUGAUUACGAUCAUAAUAGUACUCACCUCUCAGGAUUAUUGUGAGGUUUAAGUCAGCCAAUACAUAGAAAACAGAAUAGUGACUAACGCAGAGUAAGUACGAAAUUAUUAUCAACGUCUGCCAUGUAACAGUCUUGGCUAAAUCAUAACAGCUAAACCUUAUUGAACUAGAUAUUAUUCACUUGUUCUAGUGGGAAAAUGUAAAUUCAACACAGCUGUAGACCAAAGAGGCCUAUUGAGAAUUGCUGCAAAGUUAAGGGGUUGUUGGUCAUGGCUCCUAACCUGUUGCAGGGAUAAGUCAAUUUUGACUCCAUGUUGGAACUGUUUGACCUGCUUUCUGUUGCUUUUGUUGUUAUAACCACACAUAAUGGCCUGCCUCAAAGAAUCUUGCCCCUCUGCCUGACUGUUAAAGAGCGCCUUUGUUCAGAACACUGUCCUCCUGUAGAUGGCAGGAAGGAAGAAACGAACACAUCCCCCUGUCCGAGCCUUGCCAUUCUAGGAGAUAUUUGCAAGAUUAAUGGCCUUUUUACUUUGUUUCCUCACCUCUCCUCAUCUCUGAUCCAUAGAAGAAACUGGUAUCCAGACCCAGGGUUUCCUGUGGUGCAUAAUUAUAGAUGCACUGGAAGAAGAAUUCAGGUCAACAAUUACUUUAAUGAGAUGUCUGAAGAGCAUGGCCCAGCAAGGCGGAAGGCAGAGGAGGAGCUGGGAGAGGACGUAGGGUGGGGGAGAGACAAGAGAAACUGGAGGAAGGCAGGGAAAUGGGCAGGAUGAGGGGCAAAGAUAGGAAGGUUUCUGCAAGGAGAGCAGAAGAGGGAGAGGAAGAACUCGGAGCAAGAGAGCCGGAGGAGCAAGCAGAGGGCAGAGGAGCAGACUUCACUGUGUCUGGAACAUUUUUGCUGCUGCUGCUGCUGCUAAGGUGCUUCAGCCAUGUCCUACUCUGUGCGACCCCAUAGAUGGCAGCCCACCAGACUCCUCUGUCCCUGGGAUUCUCCAGGCAAGAAUACUGGAGUGGGUUGCCAUUGCCCUCUCCCAGGCACGCAUGAUAAGUCGCUUCAGUCAUGUCCAACUCUGUGCGACCCUAUGGACAACAGACCACCAGGCUCUGCCAUCCACAGGAUUCUCCAGACAAGAAUACUGGAGUAGGUUGCCAUUUCCUUCUCCAUGGGACAUUUUUAAAGACGGAGAAAACAUUCAGAAAGCAAGAGAGUGGCGCUGGGUGCCCAUGGAGAGGUCUGCAGUCUUGGAUCCAGAUGCUCCUCUCACGGAUGCAUCUGGAGACAGUGGGGAGGCAUUGACAAUGGGCUUUGGCAUCAAACAGAUUUGGGGCUAAUCCCUGAUCCUGCCCUGUUUGACCUGUGUGACUUUUGGCAAGUCACUAAACUUCUCUGAGUCUGCUCCCAUCUGUAAAAUGAGGGUUAACUAUAUAAGGUGCAUGCCUUGGUCUGUUCAGGUUAUUAUAACAAAUUACCAUAGGCUAGGUAGCUUGGAAACAAUAGAAAUUUCUCACAAUUCUGGAGGCUGGAAAAUCCAAGAUCGAGGCAGAUUUGGUGUCUGGUGAGAGCCUGGUUUUUGGUUUAUGGCCAACUGUCUUUUCAUUAUGUCCACACAUGGUGGAUGGAGUGAAGGGGCCUUUUCGAAAAGGGCCCUGAUCCCACUCAUGAGGCUCCACCCUCAUGAACUAAUCAUCUCCCAAGGGCCCCAUAUCCAAACACUAUCUUACUGGAGAUUAGGCUUCAACUGAUAUAUUUUGGUGGGCCACAAACAUUCAGGCCACAACAGUGCAUAACACUCCUAGAAUGAACUGUAUCUGACAUACAGCAAGUCCCAAUAAAUUGUUAGAAUGGGGAAUCCGAGAGGUUAGUUUUGCCCAAGGGCUCAUGGCUAGUCAGUAGCUGAAUUGAAAUUUAAACCCUGAUUUGUCUGAUCUCCAAUGCCACGGAGGAAAAUGUACAAAACUGCUCUUUUUUGGGAAAUGCAAGGUCUGUUCUCCAGAGAGUCAGCCUCAAUCCAUGAAGACAGUCCUUAUCAGCUGGUGCCAGGGGUUCAAGGGAAAAUGAAACAGUUGCCCAUAAACCAAAAAACAGGCUCAAUCUAACCAUAGUAGGACUUUAGACAUAGGUAUGAAGGUCAGGCAGAGAAGGCAAUGGGUUUCCAGUACUCUUGCCUGGAGAAUUCCAUGGGUGGAGGAGUCUGGUAGGCUGCAGUCCAUGGGGUCGCUAAGAGUUGGACACAACUGAGCAACUUCACUUUCACUUUUCACUUUCAUGCAUUGGAGAAGGAAAUGGCACUCCAGUGUUCUUGCCUGGAGAAUUCCAGGGACGGGGGAGCCUGGUGGGCUGCCGUCUAUGGGGUUGCACAGAGUCGGACACAACUGAAGCAACUUAGCAGCAGCAGCAGCAUGAAGGUCAGGAAGAUUCCCUGGAUAAGGAAAUGGCAACCCAUUCCAGUAUUCCUGCCUGGAAGAUUCCAUGGACGGAAGAGCCUAGUGGGCUACAGUCCAUGGGGUAGCAAAGAGUUGGACACAACUGAGCAUACACACACACACACCCCCACACACACAUAUACACACAUGAGGUCCCACUUCCACAAGCUGGUUUUUACAGAACAUGCCCUUGUUCACGCUUGCAGGAUAUAACAGGGCAUUCAUUCUUGAGUUCAUUCCAGGGCUUACUGAGUGCCCAUACUAGGCCCAGUACUAUUAACAUUUCAGGCUCCCAAGAGCAUAUGCCUAGUGGGAUAACUAUGACCAUCUUGGUAGUGCACUGCUCAAAUCUCCCUUCAAGUUCUAGAAUAUACUAUCUGGAAUCCAUGAGAAGGUUCACAUUGAGGCCACAAUCUUCCCCAGGCUGCUGUCAGCAAAGGCAGAGCAUGGGGUGGGGUGGAGGUGGGGGGUGUGUGCUAGAGCUGAGUCAGCCUGCCAGCGUGGAACUUCUUUAACAGAGGGGCGCUCAGACUCCAAAAGCCUGGUUGAGGCUUCCUCAGAGCUGCACUCCGGUCUGAGGCUCUUUCUGCCCCACCUUCUUCCUUCCCUCGCUCCUUUCUCAAUAGGCAGAUCAGCAUCCCAGUCUGAAGGCUCUCCGUGUCUCCUCUUGAUCCCCCUUCCCUCACCCCCUAAUCCUUCACAAGAGUUUCUCCCAAGAAGUCUCUUGCACUUCUACCUUGGCAUCUUUCCCAGAGGAACCAAACAAAGGAACCGAGACCCAUUGUUUAUAGAAAGAUUAGGGCCUCUCUGGAAGUUGUCCCGGGUGUUCGCCGCUGGAGCUCCAGGUCGAGAGGACGGGGUCCCGCUGCCGGGAGAAUCCUCCACUGCCGCCGGUGCCCGGAGCCCAGCCCUUUCCUAUUAAAAAAAAAAAAAAAAAAAAGAUUAAAUGACAAGAUAAGCAGAAACCACAAGCCCCUUGUAGAUUUCUCUUGAAUCCAUCCACUUUGCUCUAGGUCCACAGUCCGCACCUUAGUUCAAGCCACCAUCUCUGUCCGUUAGAUCCUGGUAGGACACAGAUAUCACACUCAAACAGGAUAAUUUGUUGAGGUUAACAAAGGAUAAUUUAGAAAAUUCUGGUCCUGAGAUAUGGAUUUAGGCUAAAGGAACACGGGCCACAGUCUGCCUGCAUCACCUGGGGUAGAGGAUAGGUACCCCCACCUCGCUCUCCUUCCUCCCUCCUAUCUCCUGUUGGUGCUCCUUUUUGGCCAAACCCAAAUGGAAACCAGAGAAGACAGGAGCCCAUUUAUGGAGGCCCAGGUCUGCUUCCUGGAGAAGGCAAUGGUGACCCACUCCAGUACUCUUGCCUGGAAAAUCCCAGGGAUGGAGGAGCCUGGUAGGCUGCAGUCCAUGGGGUCACUAAGAGUCGGACAUGACUGAACAACUUCACUUUCACUUUUCACUUUCAUGCACUGGAGAAGGAAAUGGCAGCCCACUCCAGUGUUCUUGCCUGGAGAAUCCCAGGGACGGGGGAGCCUGGUGGGCUGCCGUCUAUGGGGUCGCACAGAGUCAGACAUGACUGAAGCAACUUAGCAGCAGCAGCACCAGGUCUGCUUCCCAUGGGCACAGAUAGAGCAGGGCCAAAAGCAAAUCAGGAGAGGCAAAAAGAAGCUGCCUGGCACAACUGUGUCUCGCCCAAAGCUUUGCAAGAUCUUAUUUUAUCCCACUGCCCUCUUUUAACCUUUCUCCCAGUGACAUAUUAAAGAGUGCUGACUUUCCCAGCUACUUAACUCCAUCCAGUGGCUCCCCUCAAGGACUAACUUGUACAAGGUCAAGGAAUGUCUGCCUGACUCAAGGCACAGGGUGGCCCUUGAAGAUACUUGCUUUUUUAUGAGUAAAUAAAAUGCUAUGGGCAAGCCAUGUAUUUUGGAGUCCAGGAUGGUGCUGAUUUCAAACAUUUCUUCCUCUUUUCCCCAAACAUUGAAAAGUCCUGGAGUUUCAGUGUCUGUGUAUCCAAACUCUAUCUCCUAGGUACCACUAACUGAGACCUACGAUGGGGCAGGCACUCUGGAAAUGUCUUUCUGAAUAGGAUGACUACUCUGCACAAUGAUUGCCCCCAUCUGAGUUUUUCACGUUAGAAGAGGGACUCAGUGGUCAGGCCAUCUGGGGUCCCAGUCGAGAACAAGUCACUCCUUUUAUGUUUCCAUGUCAUCCUUCCCACAGGCACGCUUCCCCUAGAUGUACCUUCCUUGUGGGAUUAUCCCAAGGAUAUGCUGUUCUCUGCUUAGUCACUCAGUCAUGUCUGACUCCUUGUGACCCCAUGAACUGUAGCCCACCAGGCUCCUCUGUCCAUGGGGAUUCUCCAGGCAAGAAUACUGGAGUGGGUUGCCAUGCCCUCCUCCAGGGGAUCUUCCCAACCCAGGGAUCAAACCCAGGUCUCCCCAUUGCAGGCGGAUUCUUUACCAUCUGGGCCAUCAGGGAAGCCCAAGAAUGGAGUAGAUUAACUCAUGCAAAGAGUUUAGAACAGUGCCUGGACCCUAGUCCAUGUGCAGUCGCUGUUAGCUCUUAUUAACAUGUCAUCCUCUUCCAAG